AUUGAACGCUGGCGGCAGGCCUAACACAUGCAAGUCGAACGGUAACAGGAAGCAGCUUGCUGCUUCGCUGACGAGUGGCGGACGGGUGUGUAAUGUCUGGGAAACUGCCUGAUGGAGGGGGAUAACUACUGGAAACGGUAGCUAAUACCGCAUAACGUCGCAAGACCAAAGAGGGGGACCUUAGGGCCUCUUGCCAUCGGAUGUGCCCAGAUGGGAUUAGCUAGUAGGUGGGGUAACGGCUCACCUAGGCGACGAUCCCUAGCUGGUCUGAGAGGAUGACCAGCCACACUGGAACUGAGACACGGUCCAGACUCCUACGGGAGGCAGCAGUGGGGAAUAUUGCACAAUGGGCGCAAGCCUGAUGCAGCCAUGCCGCGUGUAUGAAGAAGGCCUUCGGGUUGUAAAGUACUUUCAGCGGGGAGGAAGGGAGUAAAGUUAAUACCUUUGCUCAUUGACGUUACCCAAAGAAGAAGCACCGGCUAACUACGUG
rnacentral:rRNA from 1 species